rnacentral:rRNA from 1 species
AUAGAACGCUGGCGGCAGGUCUAACACAUGCAAGUCGAACGGUAACAGGAAGAGGCUUGCUUCUUUGCUGACGAGUGGCGGACGGGUGAGUAAUGUCUGGGAAACUGCCUGAUGGAGGGGGAUAACUACUGGAAACGGUAGCUAAUACCGCAUAACGUCGCAAGACCAAAGAGGGGGACCUUCGGGCACCUUGCCAUCGGCUUUGCCCAGAUGGGAUUAGCUUGUUGGUGGGGUAACGGCUAACCAAGGCGACGAUCCCUAGCUGGUCUGAGAGGAUGACCAGCCACACUGGAACUGAGACACGGUCCAGACUCCUACGGGAGGCAGCAGUGAGGAAUAUUGCACAAUGGGCGCAAGCCUGAUGCAGCCAUGCCGCGUGUAUGAAGAAGGCCUUCGGGUUGUAAAGUACUUUCAGCGGGGAGGAAGGGAGUAAAGUUAAUACCUUUGCUCAUUGACGUUACCCGCAGAAGAAGCACCGGCUAACUCCGUGCCAGCCGCCGCGGUAA